GUUGUGUUUAACCACGCAGGACACUGGAGAAACACCCGAUAACCAGCACCCAGGCCAUCGCCCAGCCCCAACAAGGCCGUGACAUGCGCACACUGAGAAUGUCCGAUCGCAGCGAGAGAUAUGUAGUCCAUGUCAAACGCCAGGAGCGAUGGCGUGGACAAACAGCUCUUUCAAGAUGAAAAGCGGGGAGAUGAUGCAGGAUGCGACAAACUGACACAGAACCAUUAGUCAACGUCACCCGUCUCCGCCGGAUUAAAAGGCACCGGUUGUGUAUCUCGCCCUAACGUUCCUUGAAUCACCUUGUGUUAUCCACGGCCCGUAAACAGUCGGAUCC
ensembl:lncRNA